rnacentral:tRNA from 1 species
AAGGCCUUAAGUUAAUAAAGUAAAGAGACUAUUAAUUUUCAAAGUUAGAAGUGGGUUUUCAGGCUUUA